GAAUUUAAUAUUAAUUUAAAAGAAUUAAUUAAUUAUAAUUAAUUUUAGGAUAAUAUUUAGUUGGGAGGAUAGUUGAAUUAUUAUAACUUUAAUAAUAAUAAAUACAUUGAUAUAUGAGUUAAAGAUUAAUAUUUUUUAUAAUAGAAUUAAUUACCUUAGGGAUAACAGCGUAAUAUUUUUGGAGAGAUCAUAUUGAUAAAAAUGUUUGC
rnacentral:rRNA from 1 species